rnacentral:rRNA from 1 species
CGAACGGGUGAGUAAUGCGUGACCAACCUGCCCCAUGCUCCAGAAUAGCUCUUGGAAACGGGUGGUAAUGCUGGAUGCUCCAACUUGACGCAUGUCUUGUUGGGAAAGNGUUUAGUGGCAUGGGAUGGGGUCGCGUCCUAUCAGCUUGUAGGCGGGGUAAUGGCCCACCUAGGCUUCGACGGGUAGCCGGCCUGAGAGGGCGGACGGCCACAUUGGGACUGAGAUACGGCCCAGACUCCUACGGGAGGCAGCAGC